CCUGUGCUACUGCUCUUAAUGUCUGCUGCUACAAUAGUUUUUAUGCCUCUGCUGCCUGCCACAGUCGUAUCAAAGAAAACUCCCUGGCCCCGUACCAGAGCAGUUUCUACAUGGAAUAAAGAACCUACAGAUACUCUUUGAACCUGACCUGCACAGAAUUCAGUGUUUUUCAAGUCAAAGCAUUUUCACAUGAUGGCAUCAGAAGAUGAUCUUGUAUAUGCCAGAGAGCUGCAUUUGCACCCUAGCAUGCCGAGGCUGUGAAGGUGGAAGGCAUUAGAGGGACACGUGUGCAAACCUUUGCACUAGAGGAAGUGUAACAGCAACAUUAACAUCAGGUUGAACCAGCAGAAUUUUUUUCUUUAUUGGUUAAUCCCCCAAAUCCCCAAACAGUCACCCAAAGAAUAGACUCUUUUGAAUGAAAGUCAACAUCAACUUUAUAUUUUGCUUCCACUCCAGUUGAGUGGUUUUUUUUCUGCCUUCUCCCAUGCAUUUAUUUGACCCGGACUUUGUAUAAAAGAACAGAAGUGAAGAUUGUAAUUUUUUUUUUUAAACAGAAAGCCUGAUGCAGAACUUGGGCUGUUCCUGUUGCCAGAAGGUGCAGCAGCAGCCUGGCUGCACGGUGACUCAUGGCCCUGUGCCACAUUGCAAAUAAUGCUCUUAUUAAUCUCUCCAGGCUUUGUUCUGGCCCCCCUCCUAGUGGUGUCUGAUUUCAUGGUGUGGUGUAGCCAAAGGUCAGAUAAACUACAUGAUGGCCAGAGUUGCUACUGAAGAAAGAAAUCGGAAAUGCCUCUCCCAGCAGUUUCUGCAACAGAGAGAAAAAUAAUUUCUCUUACUGUUAACCUGCCUGAUGUGUUACCUUGUGUUGCUGUCUCAGCAGAGGAAAGCUGUGGUACAGCAGUAACCCAGGGAGGCAGCCAAACCCAGUUCUAUAGCAAAUGCUUCUGGGUCUGCCUGGCUCGGUACAUUUUUUAGCAAAAAUGUUCUGUCUUUAUGUGUUUGAUCAUUCGCAACAAAUGACAGUCACAAGCUGAAAAAGAUGCCAAGCUUUGUCUCUAAAUGAGCUGAUGUAAUUGACUGAUUCAUUAAUUACCCACUUUUCCUCAGAUUUAAUUCAACAUAGUGUUCACAAAGAGAUAACCAGUCACGAAUUAGUCAAGCUGAAGUUUGAUAUGCUUGGUUACAGGCCAUUUUGUUGUUACCAUUUUCAGAUGAAUGAAUAUUCCUGUGAAACUAGCAAAUGUUGCUUGCAAGUUGUUUCUUUGCCUCCAUGACUACCCAAAGUGUUUCUAUUCAAAUGAAAUGGAGUCCAUACACUUUGAACUGGAGUGCCUUGCAAGCAGAUAGCACAACCAAAGCAAAU